GCGCAUGUGGUGCAGCGGUAGCAUAGCUGCCUUCCAAGCUGCAGAUCCGUGUUCGGUUCCCGGCUUACGCA
rnacentral:tRNA from 1 species